UACGGGAGGCAGCAGUGGGGAAUAUUGCACAAUGGGCGCAAGCCUGAUGCAGCCAUGCCGCGUGUAUGAAGAAGGCCUUCGGGUUGUAAAGUACUUUCAGUCGUGAGGAAGGUGUUAAGGUUAAUAACCUUAGCAAUUGACGUUAGCGACAGAAGAAGCACCGGCUAACUCCGUGCCAGCAGCCGCGGUAAUACGGAGGGUGCGAGCGUUAAUCGGAAUUACUGGGCGUAAAGGGCACGCAGGCGGUUAAUUAAGUUGGAUGUGAAAUCCCCGGGCUUAACCUGGGAAUGGCAUUCAAGACUGGUUAGCUAGAGUCUUGUAGAGGGGGUAGAAUUCCAUGUGUAGCGGUGAAAUGCGUAGAGAUGUGGAGGAAUACCGGUGGCGAAGGCGGCCCCUGGACAAAGACUGACGCUCAUGUGCGAAAGCGUGGGGAGCAAACGAGGGAUUAGAUA
rnacentral:rRNA from 1 species